rnacentral:lncRNA from 1 species
CCUUCCCAAUUAUCUUGCAGGGGUUCUAAGCAGAGAUGGAAUUGGAGGCUCAUUGGCCCUGAUGGAUGACCACGGAGAGUCAUGAUAGCUACUGGCAGCAGCAGAGGGAUCCAGGGCCCAGCAAGUAGGGAUGGCCACCUCACCCAAGGAAGAGAGAUGGUCUUCGCUGUGGACCUUCGCUCGGAUGGGAAGUGACACAGAGCACCGGCCUGCAGGAGGGGAGGGGUUCCAGCAGCAGGGAAACAGCCAGAAACAGAAGACUUGACACUGCAUGCCCCGGGCCCCACCCAGAGCCCGGCCCCAAAUGCCAGCAGGACCUCCCCUGAGAUCAAGAAGGACCUCUUGUAAACCCACAACUUCUCUAAUAAAGA